GCCGGGGUGGCGGAAUUGGCAGACGCAGCGCCCUUAAAAGGCGCUGGUCCAGGGCGGCCGUGCGGGUUCGAUCCCCGCCCCCGGCACCA
rnacentral:tRNA from 1 species